GUUAGAUAAAGACGGAGUCCCUAUUCUGCACUCAAACAAACCAGUAGUUUCUAACAAGCUAUGGAACUACUUAGCAAGAUAAACUUUUUGUCUGUCUUUUGUUGCCUUUGUUUAAACUUAGGCGUUGCUAGAGACACCAUUAUAUCUCCACAAUCCAUCAGAGACCCAGACUACAUAAUCUCCAAUGGGAGUGCUUUCAAACUGGGAUUCUUUAGCCCAGUAAAUUCUACUAAUCGCUACCUUGGAAUAUGGUAUAAUAGAAUAUCUGUAUUCACUGUCGUAUGGGUAGCAAACAGAGAGAAACCCCUCAAGGAUUCUUCUGGGGUACUUACUAUAUCAGAGGACGGCAAUCUUGUAGUAUUAGAUGGACAAAAGGAGAUUCUUUGGUCAUCAAAUGUUACAAACUGUGUUGCCAUUUCAAAUUUCCACCUUUCGGAUUCAGGGAACCUCGUCUUGCGAGAAAACACUAGAGGGAAAAUCAUAUGGGAGAGUUUCCAACAUCCCUCUAAUACAUUCUUGCCAAAGAUGAAACUUAGUAUCAAUUUAAGGACAAAUCAGACAGUACAGUAUACAUCAUGGAAAAGCCCUUCUGAUCCAUCCAUUGGAAGUUUCUCUGUAGGCAUGGCUCCAGGGAGCAUUCCUGAAGCUUUCAUAUGGAAAGAUGGUCGUCCAUACUGGCGGAGUGGUCCAUGGAAUGGUCAGAUCUUUAUUGGUGAACCUGACUGGAAUGCAGAAUAUCAUAAUGGAUUUAAUCUAGUAGAUGACAAAGAAGGUACGGUUUAUGCAACUUUUGAUUAUGCAAAUGUGUUGCCUCUAUCAAAAUUUGUGUUGAAUUCACAAGGAAAUCUAGUGCAGACAUAUUGGGAUGAUAGCAAGGAGGAUUGGAAGGUUGUGGGGUUAGCACCAAAAGAUGAGUGUGAUGUUUAUGGCACUUGUGGUGCAUUUGGAAGCUGUGAUUCGCAGAGGAAACCAAUCUGUAGCUGUAUUAGAGGGUUUGAGCCAAAGAUUAUUGAGGAAUGGAACAGAGGAAAUUGGACAAGUGGGUGUAUUAGGAGGGCAGCAUUGCAGUGUCAAAGGGUGAAUAAUAGUGGUGAAGAAGGAAAAGCAGAUGGGUUCUUGAAACUGAAGAUGUUCAAAGUGCCAGACUUUAUGGAGAGGUCAUAUGGGGCUAAAGAGAGUUGUCGAAAGCAGUGCUUGGAGAACUGUGCUUGUGUAGCUUAUGCACAUGAUGCUGGAAUUGGUUGUAUGUCAUGGAGUGGAAACUUAAUUGACCUAAGGAAAUUCUCCAUUCGUGGAUCAGAUAUAUAUAUUCGUCUGGCCUAUUCCGAAUUCAACAAAGAGAGAUAUUUGAAAGUAAUCAUCAGAAUUACACUGAUUAUUGGAGUGAUUGCCAUUGCCCGCACGGCAUGCUACUUAUGGAGAUGGACUGCUAAAAAGCCAGGUACUAUGUCUAUUAUGUUGACAGCGGCCUGACUUUUCUUUAAAAUUGGAAAAAUUAAAAGCAGGAAGAGCUUGCUGCUUGACUACUUGAACGAUGUUAAACUCAAUGAGCUGACAGUUUUCAGUUUGAAAGAAGUGGCAACUGCAACAAACAACUUUCACGUAUCUAAUAUGCUUGGGAGAGGUGGCUUUGGUUCAGUCUAUAAGGGAAAAUUGCAUGAUGGACAGGAAAUAGCAGUGAAAAGACUGUCAACAUCCUCUCGACAAGGGCUUGAAGAAUUUCUGAAUGAGGUGGUGGUGAUUUCUAAACUCCAACAUCGAAAUCUUGUUAGACUUAUUGGCUAUUGCACUGAGGGAGAAGAAAAGGUGUUGAUCUAUGAGUACAUGCCAAACAAAAGUUUGGACGUAAUUGUUUUUGAUCCACUCAACCAAAGACUCCUUGAUUGGAAAAAGCGCUUCAACAUUAUUGAAGGAAUUGGUCGAGGUCUGCUAUACCUUCAUAGGGAUUCUAGAAUGAAGAUUAUUCAUAGAGAUCUAAAGGCAAGUAAUAUCUUGUUAGAUGAAGACUUGAAUCCAAAAAUAGCGGAUUUUGGAAUUGCUAGAAUUUUCGAUGGCAUUGAAAAUCAAGCUAAUACUAAAAGGGUUAUUGGGACAUACGGAUAUAUGUCUCCUGAAUAUGCAAUGCAAGGACUUUUUUCAGUGAAAUCAGAUGUUUUUAGUUUUGGUGUAUUGAUACUAGAGAUUGUUAGUGGGAGAAAAAACACUAGCUUUUACAAUGAUGAACAGUACUACUUGAGCCUUGUAGGAUUUGCAUGGAAAUUGUGGAAUGAUGGCAAUAGUAUGGCUUUGAUCGAACCAGCAAUAUGGGAUCCUUGCUUUCGAAUGGAGAUGUUGAGAUGCAUACAUGUGGGAUUGCUAUGUGUACAAGAAACGGCAAGAGAUAGGCCUACUAUCUCUACUGUUAUUUCGAUGCUUAAUAGUGAUAUCAUGGAUCUUCCCUUUCCUAAGCAACCUGCAUUCACCGAAAGGCAAAUUGCUUCAAAUUGUGAGCCUGCUCAACAAGGCCAAAUAAGAAUCUCCACUUGCAAUGUCACUCUUACGACGAUUUAUGGCAGAUAAGAGUAAAGUUCUUGAGAUAAAUCUCUCUAAAUUUAUGCCCAUCCAUUACUUUAAAAAUAAA